rnacentral:rRNA from 1 species
GACGAACGCUGGCGGCGUGCUUAACACAUGCAAGUCAAACGGAAAGGCCCUGCUUUUGUGGGGUGCUCGAGUGGCGAACGGGUGAGUAACACGUGAGUAACCUGCCCUUGACUUUGGGAUAACUUCAGGAAACUGGGGCUAAUACCGGAUAGGAGCUCCUGCUGCAUGGUGGGGGGUGGAAAGUUUCGGCGGUUGGGGAUGGACUCGCGGCUUAUCAGCUUGUUGGUGGGGUAGUGGCUUACCAAGGCUUUGACGGGUAGCCGGCCUGAGAGGGUGACCGGCCACAUUGGGACUGAGAUGCGGCCCAGACUCAUACGGGAGGCAGCAGUGGGGAAUAUUGCACAAUGGGCGGAAGCCUGAUGCAGCAACGCCGCGUGCGGGAUGACGGCCUUCGGGUUGUAAACCGCUUUCGCCUGUGACGAAGCGUGAGUGACGGUAAUGGGUAAAGAAGCACCGGCUAACUACGUGCCAGCAGCCGCCGUAA